UACAGAGGUCUCAAGCGUUGUUCGGAUUCACUGGGCGUAAAGGGUGCGUAGGCGGCGCGGUAAGUCGGGUGUGAAAUCUCGGAGCUUAACUCCGAAACUGCAUUCGAUACUGCCGUGCUUGAGGACUGGGAGAGGAGACUGGAAUUUACGGUGUAGCGGUGAAAUGCGUAGAUAUCGUAAGGAAGACCAGUGGCGAAGGCGGGUCUCGUGGACAGUUCCUGACGCUGAGGCACGAAGGUCAGGGGAGCAAACGGG
rnacentral:rRNA from 1 species